rnacentral:lncRNA from 1 species
UCCCGCUCGUCCAUGAACUUGCCCAGCGGCGAGAAGUAGAGCUUGUCCAGCGCCACCAUCAGCAGCAGGAACUCGAUCGUGAUCGCCGGGAGCGUCAGGUUGAAGUCGAACAGCGCAGCCUUCUCCAUCUCCACGGCCAGCGCCGGGAGAGGCACGUAGGCGACGGCCGCCGCCGCCGCCGUCGCGGCGAGCCCCGGGAGCUGCUUGAGGAAGGACCGUGGCUGCGGCCUGGGCGGCGGCGCGGGGCUGGAGGAGGCCGCGGGCUUGAGGAGCGCUCGGGGCGGGGAGCAGGAGGUGGUGGCUGCAGCCAUCAUAGCCGUCGCCAUGGGUGGGUGAGCGGGAGGAGGAAGAGGCGCGGUGGUGAGUCGGAUUGUGGCCGUGUGGUGGGGAGAGGGGAGGCGGGCGGCUAUCUAUCCGAACGGGGUGGCCUGUGGUUUGCCAGCCAACGGAGGCCACACGCUG